rnacentral:lncRNA from 1 species
AACGCGUUGCGGGGGGUGCAGUUGCCCGCGCCCCGAGAAAGAGAGGGAGGGGCGGGAGGGGAGGAUAAAAGGAGGUGGCGGCUGCUGCGGGGCCUCGCACACUGCUCCAGCGGCUCAAGCAGAGCGCACACUGUUCUCUCGACCCUGCAGCAUGAGUGGCCCCGCAGCCUCCGAGGAGCGGCAGCCCGAGCUCCCCAGGUUCCUCAGCAAGGUGGAGGCUGUUGCCAUGGAGAAGGAGCUCAUUGAAGACUAUCGGUUUGGGCGGCAGCAGCUGGCAGAGAUGUGUGGGUAUGCUUGUGCUGUGGCUGUGACCAAGGUAAAGUCCUUGCCUAUGCCUUCCUCCUUCCCCCUGGAACCUCAAAGGGUUCAUACUCUUGGGUCAUGGGGUAGCUUCCCCCUUUCUAUCAGUUCUUGGCCAGGUUCUGCCUUCUGAUUGGGAGGUGAUAGCCAUGGUUUGGGGAUCCCAGGCCUAGGAGACACUAUCUUAUCUUUCAGGGUUUCCCCCUCCCUAAUGGGGCCCUGUGUGGACCCAUGUCCUCUUUAACCACCUCCUGUUCUUCCCAGGGUAGGUCCUUAAAAUAACCUCCUUUCCUUUCCCCACUACAAAAGCUUUAGGUUGAGAAGACUAAGGCCCUUCUGCUCUGGAGCAUCCACUGCCUUCUUUCCACCCAGCAGGAGCUCCUGGAGUCAGAAGAGCCAAGGAUAGGCCUGGUCAGAGGGAGUGGGGCAAUGAGGAGAGGUUGAAAAACUGCUUCCUCUUCAGGCAGGAGAGGGCCUGGCUAGGUGGGGACAUGGCUAAGACUGAGGGCUAUGCUAGCAGGAAGGUUCACAAGGAACCAGGAGCUUUCCCUCUAAAACCUGAGCAUAUGAAAGCUGUGUCCAGAAGGGGUUGAAGGAGGAGUACUCAGUCACAACUAGGGGAGUCCCACAUCUUUUGGCAGGGAGCACAAGAGUCAGAAGGGGCCUGGCCCUGACCUGGGAACCAGAAGAUGUGGGUUCUAAUCCUGCCUUUGCUACAGGCUUGCUAUAUGACCACGAGGAAAUAAUUUCUUCCUUCUGUACCUUGAUUUUCUCCACAAAACUCUAUGAUCUAUAAGGUCUCUUUAAGCCCUGACAUUCUGUGUUCUAAGUUCCCUCUCAGGUCUGACAUUCUGUGUUCUAAGGGCCCUCCCAGCUCUGACAUUCUGUGUUCUAAGUUCCCUCCCAGCUCUGACAUUCUCUGCUCUAAGGUCUCUCCCAGUUCUGACAUUCUGUGAUCUAAGGUCCCUCCCAGCUCUGACAUUCUGUUCUAAGUUCCCUCCCAGCUCUGACAUUCUGUUCUAGGUUCCCUCCCAGCUCUGACAUUCUGUGUUCUAAGGGCCCUAUCGGUUCUGACAUCCUGUGUUCUAAGUUCCCUCCCAGCUCUGACAUUCUGUGUUCUAAGUUCCCUCCCAGCUCUGACAUUCUGUGUUCUAAGGGCCCUCUCGGUUCUGACAUUCUGUGUUCUAAGGGCCCUCCUAGCUCUGACAUUCUGUGUUCUAAGGUCCCUCCCAGCUCUGACAUUCUGUUCUAAGUUCUCUCCUAGCUCUGACAUUCUGUGUUCUAUUCUGUUCUAGUAUAUUCUAAUGACUUUUGCACCUUGCCCAUGUUCUAAGGGAAGAGCGUGUCCAACAGCCUGUUCUGAUUGCGUUUACCAGCUACACAGGCUUUCGGGUGCCAGACUCCUUGAUUGAUGGCCCUUGGGUAUGGAAAAAAGACCAGAUUCCACAAGGCCCGGCAAACAAGCUUAAGAUAAAUAAACGUUCACUGAGGCUUGAAUUGAAAAGGCA